AACGAACGCUGGCGGCAUGCCUAACACAUGCAAGUCGAACGAGACCUUCGGGUCUAGUGGCGCACGGGUGCGUAACGCGUGGGAACGUGCCCUUAGGUUCGGAAUAACUCCCCGAAAGGGGUGCUAAUACCGGAUAAUGUCUUCGGACCAAAGAUUUAUCGCCUUUGGAUGGGCCCGCGUUGGAUUAGCUAGUUGGUAGGGUAAAAGCCUACCAAGGCGACGAUCCAUAGCUGGUCUGAGAGGAUGAUCAGCCACACUGGGACUGAGACACGGCCCAGACUCCUACGGGAGGCAGCAGUGGGGAAUAUUGGACAAGGGGCGAAAGCCUGAUCCAGCAAUGCCGCGUGAGUGAUGAAGGCCUUAGGGUUGUAAAGCUCUUUUACCCGGGAUGAUAAUGACAGUACCGGGAGAAUAAGCUCCGGCUAACUCCGUG
rnacentral:rRNA from 1 species